rnacentral:pre_miRNA from 1 species
GUUUACGUGUGUGAAUGGUGUUCAGCACCAACGACAGGCGUGUUUACCUGUGUGUGGAUGGUGUUCAUCGCCACAAGUAUACGUGUGUUUAGCC